GCCCGGAUGGCGGAAUUGGUAGACGCGCUGGUCUCAAAAACCAGUGGGAUAAUACCCGUGCCGGUUCGACCCCGGCUCCGGGUA
rnacentral:tRNA from 1 species